rnacentral:lncRNA from 1 species
CAAUGUUUGUAAUUAACCAAAGCGAGUUGCAAUAGCCAUCAAUCGAUAAUUUUAUUAUGCCAAAAGUUUCAAGAUUUCCUUUUUGCUUACAAGUUUCAAGAUUUGCUUUUUGCUUACAACCCAUCACUUUCAUUUUGUCAACAACAAAAUAAUUACAUCUUCCAAAGCAGUAGAUCAUCCAAAUAAAAAAACACAUGUAAAACAAGCAUCUCCCAAUAUUGCGAUGGCUUAAGACUCGUCACUUCUUGCAGGUUCUUCAAUUUUCCUCCCAUUAUUUUUCAACGUACAAACCAAAAUUUUCCCAAUCCAUAUUGAGCAUUAUAAUUAGCACAAAGUAAAAAGGCUAGCAACUUUAAUACCUUCCCUUAAUUAUUGAUAAAUCGCUCGAACCACAAUUCUAGCAAAAACUAAACUCCAACGAAAUAAUUCCUCAUUAUUUAACUCCAUUCAAAUAAUCCCUUAAAAAAAUCAAAACUUUCAACUGAAAAUGCCAAAAUUGAGGUAAACAUAUAACCAACAGUGCCAAAAUUUCUUAAUUGCUCAACCAUUUCUCCCAUUUUCUACUAUAUCCACGUCAACAUAAACUAGAAAUCAAGCUUUAGCCACACAACCAACAGCAUAAAAGCAAAAAAAUAAAAAAAAAAUAAAAGAGAGAAAAGAUCAACGAACUUGGCGAUCAGUCAUAUUGGCAAUGUGAGCAGGUCAAGAAGCUCAGACAAAAGUCACAGCUUGACCCAUUAAGCUCGAAUCGGAGCCGUUUCGGAGAAGACAGUAAGACGAAGUCUAGGGUUUGUUCUCUGGACAAGAAGACAGUGCCAGACGUCAUCGUUUCUAGGAGACAUGAAAAGCUUAAAAUUAGCGAGAAAGGGCUCACAUACGUAUAAAUGUACAUGAAUAUAGAGAGAGAUAGAGAGAGAGAGAGAGCUGGUGUGUGAGUGUGUUUUUUUGAGAGAGAGAGAGUUUUAGGGUUGUGGGUUUCUGCAAAAAUUGAG